UAAAACUCUCACCAAAAAUGGGUUUAAAUGUUUUACAUGUAAAAAUCUAUAGCUUUUUACUUGAAAGAGAAAUUUAGAUGUUUGUUGUUUUUUAUACCAAGAGCAUACUAGUUUAGACCAAUUAGCCGGAGCGUCUGGGAGCUUUGUGUGUUUGUGUUGCUGCAGUAGUAGUAUAAAAGGUAUUUUGUACAUUUCUCUAACAUCACUGUAUUAAGAUAUUAGAUAAUGUGACACAGGGUGGCUUUGUCUGUGAUAAUUCUUGUGUAUUUCUUUGUCACCAUUGUAACAUGCUAAUCAUUGUAACAUGCUUCACUGUCUGGUCACAGUCAUCUCCAAUAAGAAUUGCAUCUUUUUCUUUUUUAUUCAAAGGAAAAUAGCAAGAGAAAUAGAUGCAUUUGCAUCUUCUUUUUAACCUUGUGCAAUGUUUUACAGUAAAAUAAAAAUGUCUCAUUUUAAAAGGAAAUAUAUGAUGCAGACACAAACAGGAUUUGUUAUGCAAGUUCAUUAAUAAUCCUAUUAGCGUAUUUAAGUUUACAUUUUAAUCCUGUUGAAUUAUGUAUGCAUUUUGUUUACCACUUGUUGUACUUGUGAUAAAAUAUUUUUGAACAGUCCAUCCAUUAUUUUUAUCUUGCAUGUAGGAAGUAUUUUUUUAACUUUAUAGUUUAUUUUAUUUCAACACACCGUCCAUUGUAUACAUGUUGUGAGUGUACAUUCAUGUCAUCACAAUGAAUUUAAUAAAGCUCAGUCCAAUAC
rnacentral:misc_RNA from 1 species